rnacentral:sRNA from 1 species
AUUCUGCCCAUGCGGGGAAGGAUGAGAAGCUUCGACCAAGGUUCGACUCGAGCGCCAGCGAGAGAGCGUUGCCGCAGGCAACGACCCGAAGGGCGAA